rnacentral:lncRNA from 1 species
UCUUGUUCCCAAAUGUAGAAAUUGAUAAAUAGGGUUGGCUAAUAAGAUCUGGGGCGCUAUCUGUCCACCAGUACUAGAGUCUGGGUUAUUAUCCCUUUCUGAAAAGGCUUCGUCUUUAUCGGGCUAGGUUGUUCGAGGAUUUUGGUGUGUGUGGAAAAGAAGGAUGAUAUUAUUCCUUUAGAAAUUGGGGUUCGAUUUGUGGAAAGGUGUGAAGGAAAUCGGAUGGAAUGGAGAAUUGGAGUAUCUUGAUGUUGACGAUGGACAUUUAUGUCAGAUAUAUAAACCUGAAUCCGAGAAAGCUAAACGUAUGAUGAAGUGCUACGAUAAUUUUGUCAAUCGCUAGUGAUUAAUAGUACAAGUUCGCUAUAUAUGCGAGCAUGUUAGUGGAUUAUAAUUUGUAUUGUUUUUUUUUUCUUCAAAUCAUCUUUUUAGAUUUUCGCAAUUGCAUUUUUGUCUUGAAUUGAAAAAUAAAUCAUGUUUUGUUUGUAGCAAUAAGAAGACAACUUUGCAGCUUCGAAAUGUUUUUAAAAUCAUUUGGGCAUUUUCAUGAAAAUUUAAUUCAUAAGCUCUCCUGAUUUAGAAUCAAGGCAAAUUCUAAUCUUAAAUCCAAGUGUAUAUAUAGAACUUUUGGAUGGAAUU